UCCUCGCUCUCCCUCGAAGUCUGGCGGCUCUCUCUCCCUCGUCCCCUUCGACCGGCGGCGGCCUGUCGCCAUGGCCGGAGAAACUCCGCCGCCUCGAGCCCUCGAUUAGAUAGGGUUCAGCCUCGGUAGUUGCUCCGCUCGCUCCCUCGCAGCCUCGCUCCGCCCUCCCUUGUCCCCUUCGACCGGCGGCCCGGCGCCAUGGCCGGAGAAACUACGCUGCCUCUCCCUCCCCUCAAUCGACCGCCCCUCCCUCCGCGCCCCUACUCCCUCUACGGCCAAGAUCUGUGGGGAGCUACCGAAGAAGAUUGGAAAGAAGAUCCCUGCAGAAAUAUGGUCAACUCGUCAUUGCUAGACACAAGAAAAUUGAAUCUGUAAUCUUUUAUUUAAGGUCCAGAUUAAGUAAAAGUACAACACCACACCACCAAUUGAAUUGCCUCCAUUUUGUGCGAAGGCCUAUCAACACCAUUGAUCUGCUUUUAUGCUUUUGAUCCCACAAGAAAAGGUAGUUAUUCUGAAAUUUCUAUGGUGUGCUAGAGAAGUCUGCACGACACUAGUAUUCCGAUAGAGAUUGGAGAAACCAAGUUACUCGCCGCCGUGUCCGCCCGUCUUUCGCACCGGAGCGGGGGGAAUGGAAGAAGUCCGAGGGCGCGCGCAAGCGCAGCGCCCGCCGGUGGAUGAACUG